UACGUAGGCAGCAAGCGUUGUUCGGAGUUACUGGGCGUAAAGGGUGCGUAGGCGGCUUUUUAAGUCUGGUGUGAAAUCUCCCGGCUCAACUGGGAGGGUGCGCCGGAUACUGAGGGGCUAGAGUGCGGGAGAGGAAAGUGGAAUUCCUGGUGUAGCGGUGAAAUGCGUAGAUAUCAGGAGGAACACCGGUGGUGUAAACGGCUUUCUGGACCAUAACUGACGCUGAGGCACGAAAGCGUGGGUAGCAAACAGG
rnacentral:rRNA from 1 species